AUCUCUUGAGAGGCAUUCGAUAAAAUUGGAACGAUACAGAGAAGAUUAGUAUAGCCCCUAAACAAGAACGACACGCACAUAUCGAGAGAUAGUCUAAAAAAAAUCUUU
rnacentral:snRNA from 1 species